rnacentral:misc_RNA from 1 species
CGGCACAGGAAUAUUGAAAAAUCACAAUAUACAUAUUAACAAAAGAAUUUCAUACGGUCUAGAGUUAUUCCAAUCCACAGUCACAUUAAAAAAAAAAAAAAAAGACACAACCUUUAAGGGAAAGAUAUUUGAGAUACGCGACUAGGCGUGGCGGUAGACAUGUUAGAUAAGCGACUAGGCGUUGGCCGGAAAUUCCACCAGCGAAGGGUCAA